AACGAACGCUGGUGGUAUGCUUAAUACAUGCAAGUCGAACGGGCAUAGCAAUAUGUCAGUGGCAAACGGGUGAGGAAUAUAUAGGAACCUCCCUAGCAGUAAGGAAUAACUUUGGGAAACCAAAGCUAAUGCCAUAUAUUACCCCUUAAGAAAUUAAGGGGGAAAGAUUUAUCGCUGUUAGAUGGGCCUGUAUCAGAUUAGCUAGUUGGUAGGGUAAUGGCCUACCAAGGCAAUGAUCUGUAGCUGGUCUGAGAGGAUGAUCAGCCACACUGGAUCUGAGACACGGUCCAGACUCCUACGGGAGGCAGCAGUAGGGAAUAUUGGACAAUGGGCGCAAGCCUGAUCCAGCAAUACCACGUGAGUGAUGAAGGUCUUCGGAUUGUAAAGCUCUUUUAGUAGGGAAGAUAAUGACGGUACCUACAGAAAAAGCACCGGCUAACUUCGUGCCAGCCGCCGCCGUAA
rnacentral:rRNA from 1 species